rnacentral:piRNA from 1 species
UUCCAGUAAUGGUGUCCCAUGCACAGUGAU